rnacentral:rRNA from 1 species
AUUGAACGCUGGCGGCAGGCCUAACACAUGCAAGUCGAGCGGAUGAAGGGAGCUUGCUCCUGGAUUCAGCGGCGGACGGGUGAGUAAUGCCUAGGAAUCUGCCUGGUAGUGGGGGAUAACGUCCGGAAACGGGCGCUAAUACCGCAUACGUCCUGAGGGAGAAAGUGGGGGAUCUUCGGACCUCACGCUAUCAGAUGAGCCUAGGUCGGAUUAGCUAGUUGGUGGGGUAAAGGCCUACCAAGGCGACGAUCCGUAACUGGUCUGAGAGGAUGAUCAGUCACACUGGAACUGAGACACGGUCCAGACUCCUACGGGAGGCAGCAGUGGGGAAUAUUGGACAAUGGGCGAAAGCCUGAUCCAGCCAUGCCGCGUGUGUGAAGAAGGUCUUCGGAUUGUAAAGCACUUUAAGUUGGGAGGAAGGGCAGUAAGUUAAUACCUUGCUGUUUUGACGUUGGCAACAGAAUAGGCAGGGGCUAACUUCGUG